UACGUAGGGUGCGAGCGUUAAUCGGAAUUACUGGGCGUAAAGCGUGCGCAGGCGGUUCGUCGUGUCUGAUGUGAAAUCCCCGGGCUCAACCUGGGAAUGGCAUUGGAAACUGGCGAACUAGAGUGUGGCAGAGGGGGGUGGAAUUCCGCGUGUAGCAGUGAAAUGCGUAGAGAUGCGGAGGAACACCGAUGGCGAAGGCAGCCCCCUGGGCUAACACUGACGCUCAGGCACGAAAGCGUGGGGAGCAAACAGG
rnacentral:rRNA from 1 species